AGGGAGGCACCUCACAAAGUCUCGCGCCAUUCCGAGUCCGGCGGAUGAAGUUGGCCAGCCCCACCCCCCAAGGCUAUAGCCCACCCGUUUUUGUGGCCUUUUUGCGCUGGACGAACUUGGCGCCCCGGCCUUCGGGUGGUUAUUUUUGGGCGCGGCUGUGCCCGCGGCCUAUUUUUGGCACACGGAGGCGCCUCGCAAAGUCUCGUGCCAUUCCGAGUCCGGUGGACGAAGUGGGCCAGCUCCACCCCCCAAGGCUAUAGCCCACCCGUUUUUGUGGCCUUUUUCCGCUGGACGAACUUGGCGCCCUGGCCUUCGGGCGGUUAUUUUUGGGCGCGGCUGUACCCGCGGCCUAUUUUUGGCACACGGAGGCACCUCGCAAAGGCCGUGCCAUUCCGAGUCCGGCGGACGAAGUUGGCCAGACCCACCCCCCAAGGCUAUAGCCCACCCGUUUUUGUGGGCUUUUUCCACAGG
rnacentral:lncRNA from 1 species